GCAAUCUUUAGGCUUUUAUUCCUGGGGGGGGUGGGAGGGGAUAGGAGGUAGACCGGUGAGUGAGCUCAAUCUGAUUUACAAUUCAGGCCUGUAUUGAUCAUCUAUUGGUAAAUAAACAAUGCCUUGGUCACUGUCACAGUCCCUAUAAGGUAAUGACUGGGAAUAUGGAACAAGAUUAUUGUGGCUAAUUCUGUUGCCAUUCAUCUUAGCUGUUGAUGAAGAUUGUGAGGAGGGAGACCAGAAGAUAAUGGACAACGAUACAGCAGAAGGGUCUGGUUACACUUGAGCUUAUUUCUUGGAAGAGUCUGAGAAGACGGCCUGUCAGGCUCCUAACACUAAGGGCCAUGUAACCAGUGAAGCAGCCAUUAUAUAUGAUUUGGUCUACACUUGUUGGAAAAAUUCCACAAGAGGAUCUCCUGGAAGCUAGCAGAAGUUUUUGGCUUGUACAUUGCCAGGCAGCCAUUGGAAUCGGAGCUGCAGUCAGAUUAAGGCNNNNNNNNNNNCAGCCUGGCCUACAUUGAGAAACCUCAUUUUGGGAAAGUGAAAUACUUUGUCAAUUAACAUGCAGUUGGUUCAAUAAAGACUUUUGGAAAGUG
ensembl:lincRNA Snhg12 small nucleolar RNA host gene 12